ACCUGGUUGGCUCAGUCUGUUAAGUGUCUGACUUCGACUCAGGUCAUCAUUUCACAGUUUGUGGGUUCAAGUCCCACAUUGGGCU
rnacentral:tRNA from 1 species